rnacentral:rRNA from 1 species
GACAGAGGGUGCAAACGUUGCUCGGAAUCACUGGGCGUAAAGGGCGUGUAGGCGGGUAGAUAAGUCGGGCGUGAAAUCCCUAGGCUCAACCUAGGAACUGCACUCGAAACUGUUUAUCUUGAGUGCCGGAGAGGAAAGCGGAAUUCCUGGUGUAGAGGUGAAAUUCGUAGAUAUCAGGAGGAACACCAGUGGCGAAGGCGGCUUUCUGGACGGUAACUGGACGCAUGA